GGUUGCCUCUGAGAAGCUGAUAGGCUGUUAAUUCCCAGCCACCCUGGGAAGCCCACCCUUGGAUGGGCUGAGCAAGUUCCUGUGACACCUCAAAAUGACUCAGGAAAAGAAGCAGAAAGAUAAAGACACUUAUGUCGGAUGCUGUCAGGAUGGGCAGGAACCGUCCUCUGCAGAGAUGGGAUCUUGCUAUGUGGCCCAAGCUGGUCUCAAACUCCUGGCCUCAAGCAAUCCUCCCACUGAGGCAGGACUGGUAGUCAAGGAAUUGACCAUGUUCGCGGGACAAACAACCAUGGUGAGCAUACAGUCAACAUAAUCAGCCUCAGCACUUGCACUGGGCUCACUCAAGCAAAGCUGUCUUCAGCAGGGACUUUCCCUUCUAGAGCACAUGCAUAUUUGGAUUUUACCCAUCCUCAAACUGACCCUUUGCCCAUUAUAAUAGUAAAAAACACACCCUGGGUGGAGAUUUAAGAUGCUAACGAGACAUGCAACAUAUGAACAAGCAUGUACAGUUACUGCGCACGUGCACCCAGAGGACCCCCCGGUACAUGCUUACUAGCAACACCUCUUUCCAACUCCUUAUGAAUAAUCAUGGGAGACUCCCAUAAAGGAGUCCCCCUAGCGCCGGUCUCUGCUGUCUCAUCCUUACGAGCAGCCCGCCCUGAAUCCUCUUUCUCGGUGUACUGUCUAUUCUGUACCUAACUUUCCAAAUAUUCUUUUUCUUUUGCAAUAAAUUACUCUAUGCUGCA